rnacentral:rRNA from 1 species
AUUGAACGCUGGCGGCAGGCUUAACACAUGCAAGUCGAGCGGAAACGAUGGUAGCUUGCUACCAGGCGUCGAGCGGCGGACGGGUGAGUAAUACUUAGGAAUCUACCUAGUAGUGGGGGAUAGCACGGGGAAACUCGUAUUAAUACCGCAUACGACCUACGGGAGAAAGGGGGCAGUUUACUGCUCUCGCUAUUAGAUGAGCCUAAGUCGGAUUAGCUAGAUGGUGGGGUAAAGGCCUACCAUGGCGACGAUCUGUAGCUGGUCUGAGAGGAUGAUCAGCCACACCGGGACUGAGACACGGCCCGGACUCCUACGGGAGGCAGCAGUGGGGAAUAUUGGACAAUGGGGGAAACCCUGAUCCAGCCAUGCCGCGUGUGUGAAGAAGGCCUUUUGGUUGUAAAGCACUUUAAGCAGUGAAGAAGACUCUUCGGUUAAUACCCGGAGACGAUGACAUUAGCUGCAGAAUAAGCACCGGCUAACUCUGUGCCAGCAGCCGCGGUAAUACAGAGGGUGCAAGCGUUAAUCGGAAUUACUGGGCGUAAAGCGAGCGUAGGUGGCUUGAUAAGUCAGAUGUGAAAUCCCCGGGCUUAACCUGGGAACUGCAUCUGAAACUGUUAGGCUAGAGUAGGUGAGAGGGAAGUAGAAUUUCAGGUGUAGCGGUGAAAUGCGUAGAGAUCUGAAGGAAUACCGAUGGCGAAGGCAGCUUCCUGGCAUCAUACUGACACUGAGGCUCGAAAGCGUGGGUAGCAAACAGG